rnacentral:lncRNA from 1 species
GUUUUUGGAUUUCUAAUGAUAUUAUGAAUUGGUUUAAUAACAUUUUUCAAGGUUAUGAUACACAUGUGUUUCACACUUUUGCGCAUGUGCAAACUAUUUAUAGACAUCAAGAGCGAUUUGUAUGCACUACCAGGCAAUUCUCAGGUAUUCGAUGGUUAAGGCGAAAAUGUAGUUAAUCUGGAGAAACAUCAAAUGUAACUGCAGAUCAGCCACUUUUGGAAAUGCCUAAGCAAAUUCAGUGGGAAUGGCCUGAUUUGUAAGGAAAAUAUAAGUGUAUCGUCAUGUUUGGUGGAUUGCACAUUGAAAUGACUUGUUAUAAAACUCUGGGUGAUAUAUUGCGUGAUAGGGGAUAGACAUGUUGUCUUACUGAAGCCAAUAUUGCAACACCAAGAACGGCAGAUUCUUUUUAUGUAUGUUCAAAUGUACCUAGGACUAGACAGGCGCAUCAGACAACUGCAUGUAUUUUGCUUAAAAAUUGUUAAUUUCAGAUUAUGAAAGCUAAACUCAGAAUAUAUAAUUAUGUCAUGACUCUGUGACGUUCAAUGAUUUAAAAGACUGGUGUAAGGAAAUAGAGUCAUCUCGACCACAGUUUAAUUCCUGGCGUUCAAUUAUAAAUUAAGAACUUCUUCUGAUUUUGGUAUUAUGCUCAUUUCAUGAGUGAGAUUUCGUUUUUCAGAACAGUCCAUAUAAAGCAUGAUAGCGUAUUGUUUUAGGUCUUGAUCGUGUAAAUUAUGCUCGAUCGUUACCGACUCAUCUCCGAGAUAUGACUUCCCUUCCCGAACAUCACCCACAGGUGGCAAUGGAAUUUGAAAAUGAUAAUUUCACUGUACGUAAGACCAGUAAAUUUCUUUCUUGUAACACAAUUGAUCAGGCACAAAAACAGAAUAAUGCAAUUGUGAAGGGCGAUAUUGGUGCCAUAGGAUUAACCGAAGAUCCCAUUUAGACAAAUGGAUGGUAGCUGGACCAGGAGUCAGUAUACUAGAAGAUUAAUUUGAAAGAUCUAGUGGUUUGGGUCAUUCUAAAACAGACGAACGACAUAAUGAAGACUCUACGAAAACACAAAAAGAUUUCUUUAAACAGCUUUAAAGGCUUUGCAAAGU